GUGUCAUAGAGGGUGAGAAUCCCGUAUAUGGCACGGACUCCCGUUGCUCUGUGAUACACUCUCAACGAGUCGAGUUGUUUGGGAAUGCAGCUCUAAAUGGGUGGUAAAUGCCAUCUAAAGCUAAAUAUUGGCGAGAGACCGAUAGCGAACAAGUACCGUGAGGGAAAGAUGAAAAGCACUUUGGAAAGAGAGUGAAACAGUACGUGAAAUUGCUGAAAGGGAAACGCUUGAAGUCAGUCUCGUUGGCUAGAAAUCAGCCUUGCUUUUGCUUGGUGUACUUUCUGGUUGACGGGUCAGCAUCAAUUUUGACCAUUGGAUAAAGUCGUUGGGAAUGUGGCAUCUUCGGAUGUGUUAUAGCCCAUUGUCGCAUACAGUGGUUGGGAUUGAGGAACUCAGCACGCCGCAAGGCCGGGUUUCGACCACGUUCGUGCUCAGGAUGCUGGCAUAAUGGCUUUAAUCGACCCGUCUUGAAACACGGACCAAGGAGUCUAACAUGCCUGCGAGUGUUUGGGUGGAAAACCCAUGCGUGCAAUGAAAGUGAAAGUUGAGAUCCCCUCAGGGAGCAUUGACGCCCGGACCAGAAACUUUUGCGAAGGAUCCGCGGUAGAGCAUGUAUGUUGGGACCCGAAAGAUGGUGAACUAUGCCUGAAUAGGGUGAAGCCAGAGGAAACUCUGGUGGAGGCUCGUAGCGAUUCUGACGUGCAAAUCGAUCGUCAAAUUUGGGUAUAGGGGCGAAAGACUAAUCGAACCAUCUAGUAGCUGGUUCCUGCCG
rnacentral:rRNA from 1 species